UACGAAGGGGGCUAGCGUUGUUCGGAAUCACUGGGCGUAAAGGGCGCGUAGGUGGCCUGGUAAGUCUGUGGUGAAAGCCCGGAGCUCAACUCCGGGUCUGCCGCGGAUACUGCGAGGCUUGAGUGCUGUAGAGGGGGGUAGAAUGCCGGGUGUAGCGGUGGAAUGCGUAGAGAUCCGGCAGAAGACCGGUGGCGAAGGCGGCCCCCUGGGCAGUAACUGACACUGAGGCGCGACAGCGUGGGGAGCAAACAGG
rnacentral:rRNA from 1 species